rnacentral:misc_RNA from 1 species
UGCCUCUCGCAAUCAACCACCGAAGAGGCCAUCCUUCUUAGUCCUGUGCUCAUUCAUAUCUUUAGGCCAUCCUUUUUAGUCAUGUGCAUUGCAUGUGCCAUCUACCCAACUCUGCAGGAAGUCAACGUACCCCAUGUGCCAAUUCGCCUCACCACCUCGAGCGGGAGGCACAACCACAAUGUGGUCGUCGCGCGCACCUUAACGACACAACCCUUGGGCCCCGUGCUAGCUGGGCUCCAGAAGUAUCACAAGCUCUCGCGAAUGCAGCAGGCUUCGGGGACUUCGAUCCUCGGCCUAGACCUUGGUAGGUCAUUAAGCCACCUUCGUCGAGACAACGGUCGAUCCACCGAUGGGCCCCCUCCGCUCCCUGCGAGCGGUCGGGCGCCUUAACAGCAUCGACAUCGCAAAGGACAUGCUUACCUGGUUG